UAAAGUUCCAUCUCCAAGCAUUAUGAAAUCAAAAUGAGUCAUUGUUUGACUCUUCUCUCACUUCUCACUUCUCUCACAAUUUCAUUAUGCUUCAGAAGCAUAAUGAAAUCAAAAUGAGUCAUUGUUUGACUCAUCUCUUACUUCUCACUUCUCUCACAAUUUCAUCAUGCUUCAGAAGCAUAAUGAAAUCAAAAUGAGUCAUUGUUUGACUGUUCUUGAUUUCAUAAUGCUUGGAUGUGGAACUUUAUCUGGGAUCCAUUACUUGAACUUCUGCUGGUGUCUACAGUGAAUCAUGAAAAACUCUUCAGGUAAAAAAGAUUAAAGUUUAUGUGCGUAUAUAUUGUAGAAACCCAGGCACAAGACGGUGGAUGGAGACGUUAGUAGGAGACUUAGAACAUUAGCAAUAACAUAAGAUAAUUGAAGUCACCAGCUUGGCCAAGUGGUUAGGUCGCGAGACUUAAGUUUUCGUCUCUCUAUAGAGACGUGAGUGCGAUUCUCACACCUGGUAGCUUUCUUGUCCUUAUUCAUACGUGGUAUUCAUUUAAUAGAGUUGCCUUAAAUCAUAAGAUAAAUAGAAGUUUAUGAUUGAAAUAUGGAACGAGAAAGGUGAGGUUGUUAUCUCCGUAUUCCAUUUGUACACACUGAGCAAGAGAUGACAUGGUCAUGAGCGAGAUGUUACCUUUUUUCAAGCGCAUCUGUGUUUAACAUCUGCAGGAAUAAAAAGCCGGUAAUCACGACAAUAUUGCCGUUGUUACACUGGACUUAGAAGUGCUCGCCAGCUCUGUCACUCCCGUCCAGUUGGGGUACACAUUAUUCCCGAGAAUCGGAAUUGAUCAGUUGGUCACCGUCGGCUGGGGCAACUCAGCAACUACGGUAUCGACCCCGGAUUCUUAUGACACGAAAGUCUUAUUCACACCUAACGUAUCAACUGUAACUUAACUCAUGAAGGGGUUAAUCGAAAUGUCUCCUCAUAAAGUCAUAAUUUGGCUCAAGCGGAUAAACAACGCAUUGAGUUUGAGGAACCAGUUUGCCAUCUUCGAAGACAAGCACCUUUGAUUUGUCAUUUAGGGUGCAUUUUAUCGUCAACUUUAUGGCAACAGGUUACGCCACGAUAAAAAAAAAAUAAUUUUUUUUCACUCAACCUUUUUUUUUUUUUUGUAAUUGCUUCUAUCUAGCGCUCGAUUUUUAACUCGGUUUCCUAAGUCAGAGAAAAUAUUUUAACGGAGUGUCCACGUUGCUCAGUCUCUCCAACUGCAUUCAACUGUUCAUAUUGCUUAGUCUAUCAUAUUGCAAGCCUAUUAAUUGCCUUUAAUUCAGGUAAUUCAUCCACAUUGUCUGGGAAGGCAGUAGUUGUCCAAGUGUCCAGAUUUGGUGAUUCUAUCCAACAGCAUUCCAUUGUCCACCUUGCUGAGCUUAUCAAGUACAAUCCUGCUUAUUGCCUUGGCAUCAGUUAUUUCAUACACAUUGUCUGAAGGCAGUAGUUGUGUGGCAUUGCAGUCCAAGUGUCCAUAUUUGCUGAGCCUAUCCGACAGCAUUCCGGUGUCCACCUUGCUGAACCUAUCCAACAGCAUUCAAGUGUUCACCAAAGCACUCGAUCGACGUAAAAAAGAUCUCAUAAACAAUAUUCAACGAGAAAAUGUAAUUCCAGAACAAGCACACGAAAUAGAUCGACGUCAAGGACAAGUUCUCAUGUGUAUCGUUCUGCAAUGCAACCGUACUCUAGGAAAACAUCACGAAGCAGAGAAACUUUAAGAAGCUAUCACAAAAAUGGUUCCUCAAGAACAUCUAGAUCAAAAAAUCGCUACUUUAGUACUCGAUCACCAUCAAGAAGUUCUCUUAAAAAUGGUUCACUGAGAAACUCCAGAAACAACUCAAGGAGAAGAUCGACGUCAAGGUCAAGUUCUGACAUGUCUGCUUCCAUAAGACCAUGGUAUUGUAGGGAAAGAUCAUGAACAUCGGGAGAACAUCUAAGUCGAGAAAACGCUACACAAGUGUGAAGAAGUGAGAAUACAAUCUGUAUUGGA
rnacentral:tRNA from 1 species